UACAGAGGUCUCAAGCGUUGUUCGGAUUCAUUGGGCGUAAAGGGUGCGUAGGCGGCGCGGUAAGUCGGGUGUGAAAUCUCGGAGCUUAACUCCGAAACUGCAUUCGAUACUGCCGUGCUUGAGGACUUGGAGAGGAGACUGGAAUUUACGGUGUAGCGGUGAAAUACGUAGAUAUCGUAAGGAAGACCAGUGGCGAAGGCGGGUCUCGUGGACAGUUCCUGACGCUGAGGCACGAAGGCCAGGGGAGCAAAC
rnacentral:rRNA from 1 species